GUCGUGGGGCUCCAAGAGAUUGGCCAGUACCUACAACUAUGGCACAAGAUCGAGCGCACUACCCUCUCCGCGGAGCCGGACCGCCUAACCUGGAAGUGGAGCACGAGCGGCACCUACUCGGCCAAAUCUGCCUAUCUUGCCACUUUCCACGGUUCCAUCGCCUGCGACGCGUGGAAACUCACUUGGAAGUGCUGGGCGCCGCCGCGGGUCAGGUUCUUCCACUGGCUUGCUCACCUGGAUCGCUGCUGGACCGCCGACCGCCUCGCCCGCCGCGGCUUGCCGCACCCCGAGCGUUGCCCCUUUUGCGACCAGGCGCCUGAAACCAUGAACCACCUCCUCCUUGCCUGUCCCUUCGCCCGACAGAUCUGGCAUGAGGUGCUC
rnacentral:rRNA from 1 species